ensembl:miRNA MIR3944 microRNA 3944
UCCACCCAGCAGGCGCAGGUCCUGUGCAGCAGGCCAACCGAGAAGCGCCUGCGUCUCCCAUUUUCGGGCUGGCCUGCUGCUCCGGACCUGUGCCUGAUCUUAAUGCUG